AUCCUACUCUAAUAAGGCUUUUGAUAUCUGGAGCUCAUAGGUGGGAGAUAAAGUAUACAUACUCACAAGACAUUUAUUGUAUAGUCAAACCAUGGAUCCAAAGAAACAAAUCAAUAAGCCAAAUCAAGAUGUGCAUGUGUGGCGAAUGGUAUAUGGUGAUGAUGGUGAUAACAAUAGUGAAAUUCUAAUUCUACUUUUGCUCUUUGAGGGGAUACAUACCUUCCUUGCUCUUUGAAACUUUGUGAGGAGAAUGAGAUGCUCUCUCUUUUUCUUUUUCUUUUCUCUCAGGUGGGUAUUCUGUACCCCUAAUUCUACUGUCGGACACUUGUCCAUUUUUACCUCACGUCUCACUUUUUCUUUUCUUUCGAGGUUCCGGGCACUUGCCCCUUUUUUUUUCCUCGUAUCUUCUCCUUUUUUUAAAGAGCACUCAUCUCAUGAGAUAAUGUAGCAAGUGGUAGUAACCAAGAUAACUUGAGCAUUUAUUUCACAGGGGAAAAAUAGAAAUGUUUUUGCUAUUCUCUCCGGAUUAGGAGUAGAAUAUUUUUGGGUGGUUCUGGAGAUGGAAAUGGGUGGAUAUAUGUGGAUGCGUACUUCCGAAGUAGAAGCAGCAUGUGUGAGUGGACGUGCAAGUGAAUCUUGAUUUAACCACAUGACAAGCUCCUAAGGGUCUACACAGCUUGACCACACUCAAUGCUCAUAAGUAGUAAAAAGUAAAUGUGUGGCUCAAAGUCUAGCAAGCAUGUAUAUAUGGCUGUGGUAGGAAUUUAAACUCUCAUCAUACAGGAACUCAUCAUGUGUUAUUUUAAAGAUUUUCAAAGAUAAAAUUCUCCAGAAUUCUAGCGUCUCUAAGACGAGAUAAAUAGCAGCUCAACCUUCACAUAUCGUAUCCGUUAACCACUUAGACUUCAGAUCAAGUUUUCUUCCCACAAGUUUAGGUUUAGAGCAAGCUUUAAAUUAUAACAGUUAUGUCUAAACUUGAGAGAAAACUAAAAUUUUAA
rnacentral:lncRNA from 1 species